GAAGCGAAGCGGUGACGUGGAGCAAACCUCAGAAAGCCAAUCUCAGUUCGGAUUNUAGGCUGCAACUCGCCUACAUGAAGUUGGAAUCGCUAGUAAUCGCGAAUCAGAAUGUCGCGGUGAAUACGUUCCCGGGUCUUGUACACACCGCCCGUCACACCACGAGAGUUUACAACACCCGAAGUCAGUGGCCUAACCGCAAGGAGGGAGCUGCCUAAGGUGGAGCCGAUGACUGGGGUGAAGUCGUAACAAGGUAAC
rnacentral:rRNA from 1 species